CCUACGAGAGGCAGCAGUGAGGAAUAUUGGUCAAUGGGCGUAAGCCUGAACCAGCCAAGUAGCGUGCAGGAUGACGGCCCUACGGGUUGUAAACCGCUUUUAUACGGGAAUAACGCGCCUUACGUGUAGGGCUUUGCAUGUACCGUAUGAAUAAGGACCGGCUAAUUCCGUGCCAGCCGCCGCGGUACUACGGAAGGUCCGGGCGUUAUCCGGAUUUAGUGGGUUUAAAGGGAGCGUAGGCCGCAUGUCAAGCGUGCUGUGAAAUGUCCGGGCUCAACCCGGGCCUUGCAGCGCGAACUGGCGUGCUUGAGGACGCGUAAAGCAGGCGGAAUUCGUGGUGUAGCGGUGAAAUGCUUAGAUAUGACGAAGAACCCCGAUUGCGAAGGCAGCUUGCUGCAGCGGAACUGACGCUGAUGCUCGAAAGCGCGGGUAUCGAACAGGAUUAGAUACCCUUGUAGUC
rnacentral:rRNA from 1 species